rnacentral:rRNA from 1 species
GGAGGAAAAGAAACCAACAGGGAUUGCCUUAGUAACGGCGAGUGAAGCGGCAAAAGCUCAAAUUUGAAAUCUAGCACUUUCAGUGUUCGAGUUGUAAUUUGAAGAAGGUAACUUUGGAAUUGGCUCUUGUCUAUGUUCCUUGGAACAGGACGUCACAGAGGGUGAGAAUCCCGUGCGAUGAGAUGUCCAAUUCUAUGUAAAGUGCUUUCGAAGAGUCGAGUUGUUUGGGAAUGCAGCUCUAAGUGGGUGGUAAAUUCCAUCUAAAGCUAAAUAUUGGCGAGAGACCGAUAGCGAACAAGUACAGUGAUGGAAAGAUGAAAAGAACUUUGAAAAGAGAGUGAAAAAGUACGUGAAAUUGUUGAAAGGGAAGGGCUUGAGAUCAGACUUGGUAUUUUGUGUUCCUUAUCCUUCUUGGAUUAGGUUCCUCACAGCUUACCGGGCCAGCAUCGGUUUGGAUGGCAGGAUAAUGACAUUGGAAUGUAGCUUUGCUUCGGUGAAGUGUUAUAGACUUUGUUGAUACUGCCUAUCUAGACCGAGGACUGCGUCUUUGACUAGGAUGCUGGCGUAAUGAUCUUAAGCCGCCCGUCUUG